rnacentral:rRNA from 1 species
CCUACGGGUGGCAGCAGUGGGGAAUAUUGCACAAUGGGGGAAACCCUGAUGCAGCGACGCCGCGUGAGUGAAGAAGGAUUUCGGUAUGUAAAGCUCUAUCAGCGGGGAAGAACAUGACGGUACCUGACUAAGAAGCCCCGGCUAACUACGUACCAGCAGCCGCGGUAAUACGUAGGGGGCACGCGUUAUCCGGAUUUCCUGGGGGUAGAGGGGACGUAGAUGGCCAGACAAGUCAGAAGUGAAAGCCCCGGGCUCAACCCGGGGACUGCUUUUGAAACUGCAGGGCUGGAGUGCAGGAGAGGUAAGCGGAAUUCCUAGUGUAGCGGUGACAUGCGUAGAUAUUAGGAGGAACACCGGUGGCGAAGGCGGCUUACUGGACUGUAACUGACGUUGAGGCUCGAAAGCGUGGGGAGCAAACAGGAUUAGAUACCCUAGUAGUC